rnacentral:rRNA from 1 species
GGUUGCGAUCAUACCAGCACUAAUGCACCGGAUCCCAUCAGAACUGCGCAGUUAAGCGUGCUUGGGCGAGAGUAGUACUAGGAUGGGUGACCCCCCUGGGAAGUCCUCGUGUUGCAACCC